GGAUUGUGGCUCAGCAGUAGCGCGCUCGUCUAGCAUGUGUGAGGCCCUGGGUUUGAUCCUCAGCACCA
rnacentral:tRNA from 1 species